ACGGCAGCGUAGGUGCUUGCACCUGAUGGCGAGUGGCGAACGGGUGAGUAAUGCAUCGGAACGUGCCCAGUCGUGGGGGAUAACGCAGCGAAAGCUGUGCUAAUACCGCAUACGAUCUAUGGAUGAAAGCGGGGGACCUUCGGGCCUCGCGCGAUUGGAGCGGCCGAUGUUAGAUUAGGUAGUUGGUGAGGUAAAGGCUCACCAAGCCUACGAUCUAUAGCUGGUCUGAGAGGACGACCAGCCACACUGGAACUGAGACACGGUCCAGACUCCUACGGGAGGCAGCAGUGGGGAAUUUUGGACAAUGGGCGAAAGCCUGAUCCAGCAAUACCGCGUGCAGGAAGAAGGCCUUCGGGUUGUAAACUGCUUUUGUACGGAACGAAACGGUCUAGAUUAAUACUCUGGGCUAAUGACGGUACCGUAAGAAUAAGCACCGGCUAACUACGUGCCAGCAGCCGCGGUAAUACGUAGGGUGCAAGCGUUAAUCGGAAUUACUGGGCGUAAAGCGUGCGCAGGCGGUUUUGUAAGACAGGCGUGAAAUCCCCGGGCUCAACCUGGGAAUUGCGCUUGUGACUGCAAGGCUAGAGUACGGUAGAGGGGGGUAGAAUUCCGCGUGUAGCAGUGAAAUGCGUAGAUAUGCGGAGGAACACCGAUGGCGAAGGCAGCCCUCUGGACCUGUACUGACGCUCAUGCACGAAAGCGUGGGGAGCAAACAGGAUUAGAUACCCUGGUAGUCCACGCCCUAAACGAUGUCAACUGGUUGUUGGGAAUUUACUUUCUCAGUAACGAAGCUAACGCGUGAAGUUGACCGCCUGGGGAGUAC
rnacentral:rRNA from 1 species